CAUUUGACCAUGCAGAUGUAAGAAAUGAUACUUCAAGCAAUGAAACAACGAAUUAAAUGUGCCACUUUAAUUACGACUGAUAACCUAAAAAUGAAUCAUGCAUGCAUUUUUAGCAGACUUAACCAGGUCGGCGAUAAGAUAUCGAAUAUAAAAAAAGAAGAUAUCGGGUUUGGUGUCAAUGAGACAACUAUCUGCAAGAAACCAAAAUAACACAGAAAUACAAACUAUGGCUCAC
rnacentral:lncRNA from 1 species